GACGAACGCUGGCGGCGUGCCUAACACAUGCAAGUCGAGCGAGGUCCAUCCUUCGGGAGAAGACCUAGUGGCGAACGGGUGAGUAACACGUGAAGAACCUGCCCCGAAGACCGGGAUAACCCUCCGAAAGGAGAGCUAAUACCGGAUACCCCCACCGAACCGCAUGGUUUGGUGAGGAAAUGGAUACCGCUUCGGGAGGGCUUCGCGGCCUAUCAGCUAGUUGGUGGGGUAACGGCCCACCAAGGCAUCGACGGGUAGCUGGUCUGAGAGGACGAUCAGCCACACUGGGACUGAGACACGGCCCAGACUCCUACGGGAGGCAGCAGUGGGAAUCUUGCGCAAUGGGCGAAAGCCUGACGCAGCAACGCCGCGUGGGGGAUGAA
rnacentral:rRNA from 1 species